AAAUAAAACAAACCAAAGAGCAAAACCCACAUCUAGAGUCCACAGAGCGAGAGAGAGAGACCAAGAGACAGAGAGAGGUGAAGGCCACCAAAUCUAAGGGCACCACCGCCUACUUGCAUAGACCACCACCACCAAAUCACCAUCGAUAUUGAGAUAACGCCCUCCCGUACACGACACCAUUCCCAGCCAAGAAGUCUCCCUGUCCCGCUGUCACACAACGCCAUUCUCUUGAGGCGUUGAAAGAGAAGAUAAGUCAGUCUUCUAGUUCCAUUGAAUAUGCUUAGAAUGGUGUUGCUUUUGAAGGAGAUGCAUAUUCACAACUAUUGGGACAAGAAAGGAAUGGUUAAGUGUGUGGCUUAGGACUUGGUCCAACUCCUACCUUAUGGGGUCUAGCAUCACAUCAUUUGGGAGAUACUUCAGAACAAAAUAAAGAAUCUGAAAAAGUCCAUAAGCUCGAAGAAGACAUGAAAGUAAUGGAACAACAUCAUAUGGAUGAAAUGAGAGUGAUGAAGGAAAAUCAAGCAUGAUUAGAAACCGAACUUGCUUUGUUGAAAUCGUUUUUGGGUAGGAGUUUAGUUCCUAAUACAACUGUGCCUUCGGGAUCCAAUGGAACAUCAAAUGUAUAGAUUCCCGAUGCUUCAAGUGCGCAUCAAGCAACAAAUUUAUAAGAUUUUCAGAAUCCUCAAGUGUUUCGUGUGCCUCAAUUUACUCAUCCAAAUAAGACAUACAUUGUAGGUGGAUGGAUCGUUUUGGGAUGAAGAUCUUUGUUUGCAACUCUAUGGAAUCUGUUAAUUGACAAUGGGUUGUUAUUGGUUUGCUAGAAAAAUUUAAUUGGCUAAAUUGAUGUUGUAGCAACUAUUGUAAGCCACAAAAUGCGUGCAAUUAUUAUGGGAUGACUCUGCAUUUCAUCAAA